rnacentral:rRNA from 1 species
AUUGAACGCUGGCGGCAUGCUUUACACAUGCAAGUCGAGCGGCAGCGCGGGGGCAACCCUGGCGGCGAGCGGCGAACGGGUGAGUAAUACAUCGGAACGUACCCAGGAGUGGGGGAUAGCCCGGCGAAAGCCGGAUUAAUACCGCAUACGAUCUUAGGAUGAAAGUGGGGGACCGCAAGGCCUCACGCUUUUGGAGCGGCCGAUGUCCGAUUAGCUAGUUGGUGGGGCAAAGGCCACCAAGGCGACGAUCGGUAGCUGGUCUGAGAGGAUGAUCAGCCACACUGGGACUGAGACACGGCCCAGACUCCUACGGGAGGCAGCAGU